rnacentral:rRNA from 1 species
UACGUAGGGCGCAAGCGUUGUCCGGAAUUAUUGGGCGUAAAGAGCUCGUAGGCGGCUUGUCACGUCGGGUGUGAAAGCCCGGGGCUUAACCCCGGGUCUGCAUUCGAUACGGGCUAGCUAGAGUGUGGUAGGGGAGAUCGGAAUUCCUGGUGUAGCGGUGAAAUGCGCAGAUAUCAGGAGGAACACCGGUGGCGAAGGCGGAUCUCUGGGCCAUUACUGACGCUGAGGAGCAAAAGCGUGGGGAGCAAACAGG